rnacentral:rRNA from 1 species
UGGGGAAUAUUGCACAAUGGACGGAAGUUUGAUGCAGCGACGCCGCGUGGAGGGUGUAGGCCUUCGGGUUGUGAACUCCUUUUUCUCGCGAAAAAGGCACAGUUUUGGCUGUGUUGAUGGUAGUGGGGGAAGAAGCGCCGGCUAACUACGUGCCAGCAGCCGCGGUAAUACGUAGGGCGCGAGCGUUGUCCGGAUUUAUUGGGCGUAAAGAGCUCGUAGGUGGUUCGUCGCGUCCGUCGUGAAAGCCAGCAGCUUAACUGUUGGUCUGCGGUGGGUACGGGCGGGCUUGAGUGCGGGAGGGGUGACUGGAAUUCCUGGUGUAGCGGUGGAAUGCGCAGAUAUCAGGAGGAACACCGAUGGCGAAGGCAGGUCACUGGGCCGUUACUGACACUGAGGAGCGAAAGCGUGGGGAGCGAACAGG